AGCUUAGUUUUUAGAAAAUGAUAAGUAGUAGAACAUUGCUGUAGAUGUUAAAAAUUCUGACAUCAAAUUUUAAUUUGCUUCAAGAAGUGCUUUUGUGAUAAAGAUAAAUAUGAUCCAAAAUGACGAAAAACAAAAUUUAUGUUCUUUGAGUUCCUAACCAAAUGUCACUCCCCUAUCACAUUGACCUCUAAUCUGAUUCCAUGUCUGUGUCCUUGUACCAGUUGAAACAAGUUGACAGUUCCCUCAGCUUACAUUAUUUUUUGGUCCAAUAAUGAGAAUUCAUCCAUGAUAAUUUUGAAUCUAAUUAACUCAAACAAAGUUGCCUAUAAUUAAUUCCAUACAUUUUUAAUUUUCCUUUGCAUGGGUGUUUAAAUAGUUCUGUUAUAAAUACUGUCCCUGCAUAGUUCUGAACUGUCCUUUUAUAAAAAGUGAUAUUCUAGUUUCUUCACAAUGUAGUGAUUAUCAGCCUUACUGAUGACCUUAUAGCCUUUCUUAACAUGCACAUAAUGCACAUUUCCAAUGUCUAAAAAAUGCAAACACAAGUGGAUAUCACC
rnacentral:lncRNA from 1 species